AAUGAACGUUGGCGGCGUGGAUUAGGCAUGCAAGUCGAGCGCGAACCGUAGCAAUACGGGGAGAGCGGCGAAAGGGAGAGGAACACGUGGGUACCUGCCCUCGGAUUCAGGAUAGCCAUGGGAAACUAUGGGUAAUACUGAAUAACGUCUUCGGACCAAAGGUGUGAUUCCGUCCGGGGAGGGCCCGCGUCCUAUUAGCUAGUUGGUGAGGUAACGGCCCACCAAGGCGAAGAUGGGUAUGGGGCGUGAGAGCGUGCCCCCACUCACUGGGACUGAGACACUGCCCAGACACCUACGGGUGGCAG
rnacentral:rRNA from 1 species